CGAUGCUGCUUUGAUCAUUCGGAUAAAUGAAUCAAAUCCUGCAGAUACCUCUGGCUUUGAGUACCCUGUAUUUCAGGGAGGAAAUCUCCAGUCACUGAAUUGUUUCCUUCGAGGUGUGAAAUAAAGAUGGCUUCAAAAACUCAAAACCCCUAACCCUAACAGCUCACCUGGAGAAGAAUCCCUCAGAUGACUCCUUUUCUCAAACUCCUGAAUCAUCCCAUCUCUUCCGAUCUGGAAGAUCAUGUCAGAUUCACCAUUACGGAGGCAGUCAUAUGGAUAUUGGGGUGGCAAUUCUAAAAUAAGGAAAAAAGUGAAGCCAGAGGAAAUAUUGGAAACCAUGCAGAAGGUCCCACUCCUCUUGGGUGAAGUAUACAGCCACAUCCUGGAAUGCCACAGGACACUAGAAGAGGAAGAACAUUGAAUAAAUGAACGUCUACUAUUCUGAUGAUUGAUAACCAUGCCAUUUAGCAAAAAUAUUCAAUAAUAAAACCUGCUGCAUCUUGAAUUUUUAAUUCCAUAGCUAAGUUUAUAUAAAGCUGUCCGGUAAUGUUGAAGCAAGGGCUCCCCUAACAAGUAGCAGGGUACAGAUUAGAAAUGUAACCAUACGCCUACAACUGGGAUACAACUUACUGUUUUAACUUGUGGUUCUGAUUUGUGGUUCAGCAAGCUAUAGAAAACAAGCCACUCACUUAUGUCUUAAUCCAAUGGCCUGGUUAAGAUAACAGAGCUAUAAGAUGUUAUAUGAUAGGAUAUAGGAUACUAACCCAGGAUUUGUAAUUAGGAAGGUCUGAACCAAGAUAUUGGGGUGUAUUUUAUAUAUGUAGCUCUCCAAGUAAGAACAGGCUUUCCUAGAAAGUUGGGAACUGUUAUCAAGGGAAAUAAGUGUUUAGCCUUCCCUCUUUCUACUGCCCAC